CGCGUAGGCGGAUUACUAAGUCAGGGGUGAAAUCCCGGGGCUCAACCCCGGAACUGCCUUUGAUACUGGUAGUCUUGAGUUCGAGAGAGGUGAGUGGAACUCCGAGUGUAGAGGUGAAAUUCGUAGAUAUUCGGAAGAACACCAGUGGCGAAGGCGGCUCACUGGCUCGAUACUGACGCUGAGGUGCGAAAGUGUGGGGAGCAAACA
rnacentral:rRNA from 1 species